GACCACUCCGGUGGCCUAGUGGUUAGAGCGUCCGCCUCUGAUGCGAGAUAUCGCGAGUGUAAACCCCGGCCGAGUCA